CAGUCGCGCGGUAAUACGUAGGGUGCAAGCGUUAAUCGGAAUUACUGGGCGUAAAGCGUGCGCAGGCGGUUAUAUAAGACAGAUGUGAAAUCCCCGGGCUCAACCUGGGAACUGCAUUUGUGACUGUAUAGCUAGAGUACGGCAGAGGGGGAUGGAAUUCCGCGUGUAGCAGUGAAAUGCGUAGAUAUGCGGAGGAACACCGAUGGCGAAGGCAAUCCCCUGGGCCUGUACUGACGCUCAUGCACGAAAGCGUGGGGAGCAAACAGGAUUAGAUACCCGCGUAGUCCCUGUCUCUUAUACA
rnacentral:rRNA from 1 species